rnacentral:rRNA from 1 species
GACGAACGCUGGCGGCGUGCUUAACACAUGCAAGUCGAACGGUGAAGCGCCUUCCUUUUUGGUUGGUGUGGAUGAGUGGCGAACGGGUGAGUAACACGUGAGUAACCUGCCCCCUUCUUCUGGAUAACCGCAUGAAAGUGUGGCUAAUACGGGAUAUUCUGGGUCUGUCGCAUGAUGGGUCUGGGAAAGAUAUUGUUUCGGUGGGGGAUGGGCUCGCGGCCUAUCAGCUUGUUGGUGGGGUGAUGGCCUACCAAGGCGGUGACGGGUAGCCGGCCUGGGAGGGUGGACGGUCUCACUGGGACUGAGACACGGCCGAGACUCCGACGGGAGGCAGCAGUGGGGAAUAGUGCACAAUGGGCGCAAGCGUGAUGCAGCGACGCCGCGUGAGGGAUGGAGGCCUUCGGGUUGUGAACCUCUUUCGCCAGUGAAGCAGGCCUGCCUCGUUUGUGGGUGGGUUGACGGUAGCUGGAGAAGAAGCGCCGGCUAACUACGUG